GAUGAACGCUGGCGGCGUGCCUAAUACAUGCAAGUCGAGCGAAGCGGGGACGGGUGAGUAACACGUGGAUAACCUCCCAUAAGACUGGGAUAACUUCGGGAAACCGGAGCUAAACCGGAUACUGAUAGAUGGAUCCGCGCUGCAUUAGCUAGUUGUUAAGGUAACGGCUUACCAAGGCAACGAUGCAUAGCCGACCUGAGAGGGUGAGAGGCCAACCUGGAACAUGGGCACGGGCCAGACGCCUACGGGAGGCAGCAGUAGGGAAUCGGCCGCGAUGGGAGAAAGCCUGACGGAGCGACGCCGCGUGGUUGAUGAGGGUCUGCAGAUCUUAAAACUCUAUUAUUAGGGAAGCGGUACCUAAUCAGAAAGCGACGGCUAACUACGUGCCAGCAGCCGCGGUAAUUC
rnacentral:rRNA from 1 species